AAACAAGAAGAAUGUCACAGUGAGAGCAACCACAUCCGGUGUUCUGCCAUCAAUAUUUCCGAGCAAACGGUCCACUUGAGUGGAUAAAUAUAUCAUGAAGAUUCCUAGUGUAUACUGAGUAGGGACAAGCCAGGACUUGCGACGACCGAAGUUCUUAAAGUAGACGGCAUCAACCAAGGGAGCCCAGAGCAACUUAAGACUGAAUGGCCAGAAGACAAAACUGAAAAAGGCCUGAUCUGUAUAGCUAACAUUUUUGCUCUGCAAAAUGAGGGGGAUGCUCCCCGCCAGGCCUAAGGGAAUGCCCUGAAGCACGUAAAGAAAGAGUAGUAACAAAAUGCUACUUAGUUCGGAUCUAUAGCUCCGCGGGGCUUUUGGGAAGUCACCAGGGCCGGCAUCCCCUAGAAGAACUUCCCGGUCCCCUUCCCCGCCCACCGAGUCUCGGCGACUGUCAUCCCAGCCGCCCGGUGGCAGCGGGCCACUCUUCAUAUCCAGAGCGUGGCUGAACAUGCCUGACCGCCGCUGCCGACUGCUGUCCUUGUGGGAGAUGGUCGGUGACAUAUCAAGAGACGACGCAGAGCCCGGUGUGGUGGGGGCCUGAGGCUGGCGUUUUGAUCAGUCUAGUCCCAGGUCCAAGGCAGUCAGUCUCUCUGGACCAGGGUCACGGUGGUUUAACGCCGGGAAGGCGGACGCGGCGAGACAGGUCGCUGUUUUGCAGCAGGGAGCCAGAUCCCUGGCAGGUGGCCCAGGCGAAGCCUGGGUCGCUGCCCGCAGGAGCAACUUCAGGGAGCCGGCAAGAGCUCCCCGUGCAGCCGCACCCGGCUCGAGGCUGGCGGAGCGUGCCGUGGCGCUGCGACGGAGUCUGGCUCUUAACUGCAGCGGGGACUCGAACGCCCUCCCGCCCGUCCCACCUGCCACUAGGUCUCCGCUGACACUGCAGCGGGCACCCUCCUCGGUAGACACCAGAGGUAAAGGAUAACUUCCUGCCUCGCGCUUCGGGAAGUGGUUCCCUGCCAAAAAGGGUUCCGUGCCUCCCGACGAAGCCAGCGAAUCAGAACAAGUUCCGGUGGCGGCGAGCGCGAGCAACGUUCGCUAGGAACCAUUAAUUCCCUCGAUUCUGACCCCGAGGGAGGAAUAACGCCAGCGUACCGAGCGUCCAGGAGGGAACGUCUUCACAAACCGGGUUCCGUGUGCGCCUGCGCCUGCCUGGAACUCGUGUGCCUCGGCCAUUGGGCCCUGGUCGCCACGUGAGCGCGGGUUUUCUGGAUUGGCCUGGGCCUUGGUAAUAAUAUUGCGCAAGAGCCUACUGAGUUCAAUUAGUGGUUACCUGCAUUUAUGUGUCUUUGGAGGCUAAUCACUGGAGCAUGGGCAACCUACCAGCAGCCACACACUCAAAGAAAAAUGACUCUUCUCCCAGCAGCCAACAAUUAUCAACAGUUCCUGAGUUAGGGAUGAAGCCUUCUGAGCCCCUCUCCCAUCAGUGUUGUAAUGUUGACUGGAUUGAUCUUGUUCAGGUAAUGAUAGAUCCUGUGAGUUCAUGAGUGCCAUGUAAUGCCUAGAAGAGUACUACACAGCACUUCUCCCCAUCCUCCAGAUGCCACAUUAUACCGUGAGGCUUGUUGGGGUGGCAGGAAAUGGUUAACAGGCAGGGCUGAGUACAUACCCAUCACUUGUUUUCAGCAGUUUGGUCAGUUGAGUCUUUGUGUGUACUUCUCUCCCCUGUAGACAGAAGGUUCUUUGACAAAGGUUGAAAGCAGCACUAAUGUAUGGGUAUAAUCAUAAAUAUUUAGAGAGCAGUUUGAUGUUUCACAAAACAAUAGUGGUCAGUUUCCCCUCCCACGACCUCUGAUCUCCUGGGAUGGGCUUUUUUCAGUAAGUAGUUUUAUUAGCCUAUUUAUUUAUUCAAUUUUAAAUUUAAAAACAUGUAUUUUGACUAGACACUAUUUAUUUAUUUUUAAAAAGGGUUUCAUAUAGCCCAGGAUAGCCUCGAUCUCACUACAGGCUGGUUUUUUUUUAAUCAGUAUUUUAAAUAAUUUCUUCCAAAUAUUACUCCUUAACUAUAGUACUGUUUUUUUUUUUCUUUAGUGGUGAUGUUGUGGGGGAUCUUUCUGGAAUAAGCACUCCAACACUAUUGAGAAUGAAGUAAAGAUGCCACCAAGGCAAGAGAUUCACAGUUACAGAGCAGCCUGGGCUACACUGUGAGUUUUGAGAUGACCCAGUUCAGAGUCUCUUUUAUAAAGGCAUUAAUUCCUUUCACGACAGCUCCAUUUCAUGACCUAGUCACUUCUCAAAGGCUCCACAUUCAGAGAUUAGGGGUUAAGACUAAGGAGAAUAAUAUGGGAAGACAUAAUAAUUCUACUUAUGUUAUAUCAGUUCAUCUCCUUCUACAAAACAUACUCAUUACAUCCCAGUACCCCCAAUCUCAUUACAUCCCAGUACCCCAGUGCCUUAGCUUUUACCUGUAUCAACUCUAAAUCCAAGGCCUCAUCUACAUAUCGUCUAAGUCAGAUAUGGGUAAUGUGGUUAAUAGCAAUCGUCAACUUGACCGAAUCUAGAAUCAUUAAAGAGGCAAGGCUGUAAAG
rnacentral:lncRNA from 1 species